UCAAGUGACUAAGUGCAUGUGGCGGAUGCCUUGGCGAUCACAGGCGAAGAAAGACGCGGCAGCCUGCGAAAAGCUGCGGGGAGCUGGCAAACGAGCUUUGAUCCGCAGAUAUCUGAAUGGGGGAACCCACACCGCAAGGUGUAUCCGUGACUGAAUACAUAGGUUACGGAGGCGAACGAGGAGAACUGAAACAUCUAAGUAUCCUCAGGAAAAGAAAUCAACCGAGAUUCCGGCAGUAGCGGCGAGCGAACCCGGAGGAGCCUAGCUUUUGAUAGUACGAACUUUAGCCGAAAGGUCCUGGAAAGGCCUGCUAUAGUGGGUGAUAGCCCCGUAGGCGAAAGAGUUCGUAUGGUACUAAGGAAGCGAGAAGUAGAGCGGGACACGUGGAAUCCUGUUCGAAGAUGGGGGGACCAUCCUCCAAGGCUAAAUACUCGUGAUCGACCGAUAGUGAACCAGUACCGUGAGGGAAAGGCGAAAAGAACCCCGGGAGGGGAGUGAAAUAGAACCUGAAACCGCAUGCAUACAAACAGUAGGAGCCUCACCAGAGGUGACUGCGUACCUUUUGCAUAAUGGGUCAGCGACUUACAUUCUGUGGCGAGCUUAACCGAAUAGGGGAGGCGCAGCGAAAGCGAGUUCGAAAUGAGCGUCCAGUCGCAGGGUGUAGACCCGAAACCAGAUGAGCUAUCCAUGGCCAGGUUGAAGGUGUGGUAACACACACUGGAGGACCGAACCGACUAGUGUUGCAAAAUUAGCGGAUGAGCUGUGGAUAGGGGUGAAAGGCCAAACAAAUCUGGAGAUAGCUGGUUCUCCCCGAAAACUAUUGAGGUAGUGCCUCGUGUGUCGCUCCAGGGGGUAGAGCACUGUUUUGGCUAGGGGGACAUGGAGUCUUACCAAACCAAGGCAAACUCCGAAUACCUGGAAGCGUAAGCACGGGAGACAGAGCACCGGGUGCUAACGUCCGGACUCAAAAGGGAAACAACCCAGACCGCCGGCUAAGGUCCCCAAUAACAGCUAAGUGGAAAACGAAGUGGAAAGGCCGUGACAACCAGGAAGUUGGCUUAGAAGCAGCCAUCCUUCAAAGAAAGCGUAAUAGCUCACUGGUCGAGUCCUUCUGCGCGGAAGAUGUAACGGGGCUAAGCUGUUAACCGAAGCCGCGGAUGCACUGAUUAUUCAGUGCGUGGUAGGGGAGCGUUCUGUAAGUCUGCGAAGGCGGUUCGAGAGGACUGCUGGAGAUAUCAGAAGUGCGAAUGCUGACAUGAGUAACGUUAAAGCAGGUGAAAAGCCUGCUCGCCGUAAGCCCAAGGAUUCCUGCUCUACGUUCAUCGGAGCAGGGUGAGUCGGCUCCUAAGGUCAGGCCGAAAGGCGUAGCCGAUGGGAAUCAGGUUAAUAUUCCUGAACCUGCGUCAGAUGCGAUGGGGGGACGGAGCAUGAAAGAUCAUCCGGGUGUUGGAUGUCCCGGUUGUUGAGCGUAGGAGGUCUGCAGGCAAAUCCGCAGACGCAUCUCCAAGGCAAAGACACGUGCCGCCACGGCGGCGAAGUGAUCGGAAGUGCUUCCAAGAAAAGCCUCUAAGCACCAGUCUGGCGCGGACCGUACCGCAAACCGACACUGGUGGGCGAGCUGAAUAUGCUCAGGCGCUUGAGAGAACUCGGGAGAAGGAACUCGGCAAAUUGACACCGUAACUUCGGAAGAAGGUGUGCCGUAGUACCGUGAGAGGAGAGACACCUUGAGCGGGAAUCGGUCUCAGAGAAUAGGUGGCUGCGACUGUUUAUUAAAAACACAGCACUCUGCAAAGUCGAAAGACGACGUAUAGGGUGUGAUGCCUGCCCGGUGCUGGAAGAUUAAUUGAUGGGGUGAGAGCCCUUGAUCGAAGUCCCAGUAAACGGCGGCCGUAACUAUAACGGUCCUAAGGUAGCGAAAUUCCUUGUC
rnacentral:rRNA from 1 species